rnacentral:rRNA from 1 species
AGCGUUGUUCGGAUUUACUGGGCGUAAAGGGCGCGUAGGCGGUUGCCCAAGUCAGUUGUGAAAUCUCCGGGCUUAACUCGGAAAGGUCAACUGAUACUGGGCGACUAGAGUGCAGAAGGGGCAACUGGAAUUCUCGGUGUAGCGGUGAAAUGCGUAGAUAUCGAGAGGAACACCUGCGGCGAAGGCGGGUUGCUGGGCUGACACUGACGCUGAUGCGCGAAAGCCAGGGGAGCGAACGGG